AGUUUGAUUCUGGCUCAGAUUGAACGCUGGCGGGAUGCUUUACACAUGCAAGUCGAACGGCAGCACGGACUUCGGUCUGGUGGCGAGUGGCGAACGGGUAGGUAAUGUAUCGGAACGUGCCUAGUAGCGGGGGAUAACUACGCGAAAGCGUAGCUAAUACCACAUACGCCCUUCGAGAAAAGCGGGGACGCUGGGCCUCGCACUAUUAGAGCGGCCGAUAUCGGAUUAGCUAGUUGGUGGGGUAACGGCUCACCAGGCGACGAUCCGUAGCUGGUUUGAGAGGACGACCAGCCACACUGGGACUGGGGCCCAGACUCUACGGGAGGCAGCAGUGGGGAAUUUUGGACAAUGGGGGGGAAACCCUGAUCCAGCCAUCCGCGUGUGCGAUGAAGGCCUUCGGGUUGUAAAGCACUUUUGGCAGGAAAGAAACGGCACGGGAUAAUACCCCGUGCAACUGACGGUACCUGCAGAAUAAGCACCGACUAACUACGUGCCAGCAGCCGCGGUAAUACGUAAGUGCAAGCGUUAAUCGGAAUUACUGGGCGUAAAGCGUGCGCAGGCGGUUCGGAAGAAAGAUGUGAAAUCCCAGGCUUAACUUUGGAACUGCAUUUUUAACUACCGAGCUAGAGUGUGUCAGAGGGAGGUGGAAUUCCCCGCGUAUAGCAGUGAAAUGCGUAGAUAUGCGGAGGAACACCGAUGGCGAAGGCAGCCUCCUGGGAUAACACUGACGCUCAUGCACAAGCGUGGGGAGCAAACAGGAUUAGAUACCCUGGUAGUCCACGCCCUAAACGAUGUCAACUAGCUGUUGGGGCCUUCGGGCCUUGGUAGCGCAACUAACGCGUGAAGUUGACCGCCUGGGAAGUACGGUCGCAAGAUUAAAACUCAAAGGAAUUGACGGGGACCCGCACAAGCGGUGGAUGAUGUGGAUUAAUUCGAUGCAACGCGAAAAACCUUACCUACCCUUGACAUGUCUGGAAUCCCGAAGAGAUUUGGGAGUGCUCGCAAGAGAACCGGAACACAGGUGCUGCAUGGCUGUCGUCAGCUCGUGUCGUGAGAUGUUGGGUUAAGUCCCGCAACGAGCGCAACCCUUGUCAUUAGUUGCUACGAAAGGGCACUCUAAUGAGACUGCCGGUAGCAAACCGGAGGAAGGUGGGGAUGACGUCAAGUCCUCAUGGCCCUUAUAGGUAGGGCUUCACACACGUCAUACAAUGGUCGGGACAGAGGGUCGCCAACCCGCGAGGAGCCAAUCCCAGAAACUGAUCGUAGUCCGGAUCGCAGUCUGCAACUCGACUGCGUGAAAGUCGGAAUCGCUGGUAAUCGCGGAUCAGCAUGUCGCGGUGAAUACGUUCAGGUCUUGUACACACCGCCCGUCACACCAUGGGAGUGGGUUUUACCAGAAGUAGUUAGCCUAACCGUAAGGAGGGCGAUUACCACGGUAGGAUUCAUGACUGGGGUGAAGUCGUAACAGGUAA
rnacentral:rRNA from 1 species